rnacentral:rRNA from 1 species
AACGAACGCUGGCGGCAUGCCUAACACAUGCAAGUCGAACGAGAUCUUCGGGUCUAGUGGCGCACGGGUGCGUAACGCGUGGGAAUCUGCCCUUGGGUUCGGAAUAACUUCGGGAAACUGAAGCUAAUACCGGAUGAUGACGUAAGUCCAAAGAUUUAUCGCCCAAGGAUGAGCCCGCGUAGGAUUAGCUAGUUGGUGAGGUAAAGGCUCACCAAGGCGACGAUCCUUAGCUGGUCUGAGAGGAUGAUCAGCCACACUGGGACUGAGACACGGCCCAGACUCCUACGGGAGGCAGCAGUGGGGAAUAUUGGACAAUGGGCGCAAGCCUGAUCCAGCAAUGCCGCGUGAGUGAUGAAGGCCUUAGGGUUGUAAAGCUCUUUUACCCGGGAUGAUAAUGACAGUACCGGGAGAAUAAGCUCCGGCUAACUCCGUGCCAGCAGCCGCGGUAAAGUGACUACUG